GGCUCAGAUUGAACGCUGGCGGCAUGCCUUACACAUGCAAGUCGAACGGUAACAGGUUAAGCUGACGAGUGGCGAACGGGUGAGUAAUAUAUCGGAACGUGCCCAGUUGUGGGGGAUAACUACUCGAAAGAGUGGCUAAUACCGCAUGAGACCUGAGGGUGAAAGCGGGGGAUUUUGUAGCAAUACAGGACCUCGCGCAGUUGGAGCGGCCGAUAUCAGAUUAGCUAGUUGGCGGGGUAAAAGCCCACCAAGGCGACGAUCUGUAGCUGGUCUGAGAGGACGACCAGCCACACUGGGACUGAGACACGGCCCAGACUCCUACGGGAGGCAGCAGUGGGGAAUUUUGGACAAUGGACGCAAGUCUGAUCCAGCCAUGCCGCGUGUGGGAAGAAGGCCUUCGGGUUGUAAACCACUUUUGUCAGGGAAGAAACGGCUCGGGUUAAUACCUUGGGCUAAUGACGGUA
rnacentral:rRNA from 1 species